rnacentral:rRNA from 1 species
CCUACGGGAGGCAGCAGUAGGGAAUUUUCGUCAAUGGGCGCAAGCCUGAACGAGCGAUGCCGCGUGAGUGAAGAAGGCCUUCGGGUCGUAAAGCUCUGUUGCGGGGGAAAAAAGGCAGCAUCAGGAAAUGGGUGCUGACUGAUGGUGCCCCGCCAGAAAGUCACGGCUAACUACGUGCCAGCAGCCGCGGUAAUACGUAGGUGGCGAGCGUGAUCCGGAAGGACUGGGCGUAAAGGGGGCGCAGGCGGUACUGCAAGCCUGGAGUGAAACGCAUGGGCUCAACUAAUGAAUGGCAUUGGAAACUGGAGGACUGGAGAGCAGGAGAGGGAGGUGGAAGUCCAUGUGUAGGGGUAAAAUGCGUAGAGAUAUGGAAGAACACCAGUGGCGAAGGCGGCCGCCUGG